AUUGAACGCUGGCGGCAUGCUUUACACAUGCCAGUCGAACGGUAACAGGCCGCAAGGUGCUGACGAGUGGCGAACGGGUGAGUAAUGCAUCGGAACGUGCCCAGUCGUGGGGGAUAACUACUCGAAAGAGUAGCUAAUACCGCAUACGAUCUAUGGAUGAAAGCGGGGGACCGUAAGGCCUCGCGCGAUUGGAGCGGCCGAUGUCAGAUUAGGUAGUUGGUGGGGUAAAGGCUCACCAAGCCAACGAUCUGUAGCUGGUCUGAGAGGACGACCAGCCACACUGGGACUGAGACACGGCCCAGACUCCUACGGGGGGCAGCAGUGGGGAAUUUUGGACAAUGGGCGCAAGCCUGAUCCAGCAAUGCCGCGUGCAGGAAGAAGGCCUUCGGGUUGUAAACUGCUUUUGUACGGAACGAAACGGCUCUGGUUAAUACCCGGGGCUAAUGACGGUACCGUAAGAAUAAGCACCGGCUAACUACGUG
rnacentral:rRNA from 1 species